rnacentral:tRNA from 1 species
GAGGGUAGAGCUCAGUGGUAGAACACAUGCUUAGUGUGCACGAGGUUCUGGGUUCAAUCCCCAGUAUCUCCA